CCUACGGGAGGCAGCAGUGGGGAAUCUUGCACAAUGGGCGAAAGCCUGAUGCAGCGACGCCGCGUGGGGGAUGAAGGCCUUCGGGUCGUAAACCUCUUUCAGCUCUGAGGAAGAUGACGGUAGGAGCAGAAGAAGCGCCGGCUAACUACGUGCCAGCAGCCGCGGUAAUACGUAGGGCGCAAGCGUUGUCCGGAUUUAUUGGGCGUAAAGAGCUCGUAGGCGGUUUGUCGCGUCUGCCGUGAAAUCCAGGGGCUUAACUCUUGGUGUGCGGUGGAUACGGGCAGGCUUGAGUGCGGUAGGGGAGACUGGAAUUCCUGGUGUAGCGGUGAAAUGCGCAGAUAUCAGGAGGAACACCGGUGGCGAAGGCGGGUCUCUGGGCCGUUACUGACGCUGAGGAGCGAAAGCGUGGGGAGCGAACAGGAUUAGAUACCCUGGUAGUCCACGCUGUAAACGUUGGGCGCUAGGUGUGGGGACCUUUUUUGGUGUCUGUGCCGUAGCUAACGCAUUAAGCGCCCCGCCUGGGGAGUACGGCCGCAAGGCUAAAACUCAAAUGAAUUGACGGGG
rnacentral:rRNA from 1 species